UCAAAUUUCACUGAUCGGAAAUGUCUUGCCCAAAAGCAAUUCCCGCUGGAAAAAGUCAAAAGGGUUCCUGGCAUUAAAACGACCUUGCGUCAUUCCUGAUGAAAUUAGCAGCGCUGCAUGUUUAGCGACUUGCUAUGGAUGCACUUUGGUCACAGUAAGAAGUCAGAGAUUUGGGGUCUAAUCCCCCAUCUGAGCAGGAGCCGUCUGCUUUCACUAGCUGCGAAUCCCGAGACCUGCACUCGAAAGCGUCUUAGACCCGCAGUCCAUUUUUUACUUGUCUUUAAGUGCAAGCGAUGGGAAUUGCUAACCUCGGCUAAGAAAAUUUCAUUUCCCCCAUCCUGCUAAACGGUUCUGGUCGACAUAUGUUUGUUAUCAGAGAGAAGUGCUAUGAACACAGAGCCAUUUUCUUAGCAGCUCUUUGACUCUGUGUUACCAUAGUCCCACACGGCAUUGGUCCUUUCCCGUUGGGAAGUCAUGAAUAAGAGACUAUGAAGCUUGCACGUCAGAUCUUCCUCAAUUAAUCCACCAUUAGCAUGUUUGGGAUCCUCUACUGGAUGGUUAACAGCAGCUUUGGUAACUGUAUGCUGUCCAUACCCAAUUAUGCUCUGCUAAAAAUGAACUCUGCAGAACAACCUUCCUGAGCUGUCAGUGUCUCCCGUUUUCCUAUUUUAACGCUUGUGUGUAGUGGCAGGCGACAGAUGGUGUAGAUCAGAUCGAUUUGAUUGCAUUAGGCGAUUUUUUUUUCCUCCUCUCCCCCCCGACUCCUUUUCUGGAAGCCCACAUUCAGCUGAGAGGCGAUCGCCGGGGACAUGGGAAGCAAGAGCAGCCGCCGAUGUGUGAAAGCAACGAGACGCGGCCAGCCAGAGGCGCCGGGGUCCCUUCCCGGGGUUUGUUAACAUGGUAAUCCGGCACCAGGAGAGAAAGCUGCUUUCUGCUGCCCAGAGCCCGUUCCCCAUCACACAUCAGAUGACUCCCUGGUUUUACACACAGUUGGAGUUCUGCUUGAAACCUGGAUUUAAAGGGAAUCUGUUGCUGCUUGUGACAUCCCUUGCGAGCUCCCAGGGAGAACUGAUGGAGCAUACAGCUAGGGAAUAGGAUGCCGGAGAAGCGCGGAGGAAGAGACCGGGCAACCUCCAGGACGGGAAGGCACCGCGCCCGCUGGAUAUGGGACGGGAUCGCUCGGCUACCCUUGUGGAUUCUCCUUCUGCUAGAGGGGAAUUAUAGUUAUGGAUUUAUUGCCACGGUGCAGCACUCCCAGCAGCAGCAGCAGCUUUCUGACUCUCUUCGGUGACGGGUAUUCUUGGGUGGAUAAUACGGAUUACGUUGUUAUUGCUUAAGAAUACGCGUAGUCGAGGAGAGUACCGGCGGCGGGCAGGCAGGCAGGCAGCGCGACCGCCCCCAGCCCACCAGCUGGCUCCCAACCUCCUCUAGUUGCCAAGAAAGCACAGGGUGGUUACAGAGGAUUUAAAUGGAAGGAUGCUGAGGAAGCCAGUGAAUAGUUUUAAGUGAUGGAAUGAUGAAAACACAUGUUCCCAUGCAAUUACUUGCUGCUGCCUUAUAAAAGCCAAAGCAUAAAUCAACUUCAAUAUGGAGUAAACUAAUAGCAUCAUUGUGAAAGAGCAACCUGAAGAGUUUUGCCCUACUACUGAAAAUGAAAGCAGACCUCAGCUGAUGAGAGUAAACCUCUGUAAAGAGAGGUUUAAGAUGAGAUGUGAAGGUGUUUGACUUGGCUUUCCCAGCCUGCUGCGAAUGAAUUUUGGAAUUGGGCUGGACAAGAGUUCAGAGCACAUCUUCCAUGUACAUUUGGCUUGUAUUUUGGAGAGGCUGAUAUGCUGUCCUUGGGUCAUCUGAAACAUCAGCUGCCCUAGCAGCGAAGAGCUGACUGGUGAUAAAUGCACUGAUCCUAUUUAUGCAUCGCUUUCCAACUCAUCAAAGCAAUUUUAAAAUCAAUAUGUUAUGUUUAACAGGGAGGCCAUGCAUUUCUCUCUGGGCAGGAAUAACACGCCGAGUCUGCUAAGGGAGAAUUAACGUUCCAGGUGCAGCGUUUGGUACAAACCACAGAAUAUAAAGAAUAUUCCAGGAAAGCCAUAAAGGGAGAUGACGCAAAGAUGGUUUCUGGGAUGUUAAAAAUACAGCUACGCUUGUGAGCUGCUGUGUGAGCUGGAGUGCAGUGGCUGAACCUGGGCAAUGCUGUGCGGAUGGCAGGAGUGCCGUGCUGAGUCCCAAGCAGCUCCUGCCAUUUUAACGUGUAACGAGGCCAGGGGACAGCUUUGUGCAGCAUUCAUAACAUAAUGCAGCUAAUGUGUGUAAAAGUGGCUGAGAGGGAGAAGGCAGGUCUGCCAGCAGUGCUGUUGAUAGCAGUGAUCUGUCUGGGCUGGGGGCCGCUGACUCGAGUGCAGGGCUGCAGGAUCAAGCCGCUGCGUUUUGAAUGGGUUUGAGCUGUUCCUAAAUACAGCUUCAUUAGUUAGGGUGGCACCGCUCUGUCUGCUUCCUACUGAGCAGCAGGAAGACAAAGAGCAUCUACAGCCGUAAUAGUUUAACACAAAUUGAUUUAAAGCCUAGAAUAAUAGGAAGCUUAGAGAGCCUGGAUGAGGGAUGGUGUUGGGCAGAAAGAGGUGGGAAUGAAGAGGAGCAAAGCCCAACCAGCUGCAGACGAAGGAGGAGUGAGUCUUCUCUUUUCAUCUGUUGGUUGAAGCACCACAUCUGCAAACAGAUGUGGAUGUUCGCGAUGCAUCUAGGAAACUGUUCCUGACUUCGUGACUUGUUCGUAGUGCCCCAGGCAGACCGGCUGCACGGCCCUGGGCAAAUGGGCACCCGGGGUCAUUACGCAGGUUCUGCCUUUCUGUGUGCUCUGGUGAAAGGCUUGCACAUGGCUUCCAGCUUUCAGAGGUUUCUGGUCUGUCCAAAAUACUUAGGACUGCAACAUCUUAGACCUGAGCAUGUCUUUUUGUCCUUUUUUUUUUUUUUUUUUUUUUUUUUGACUGCUGAAUAUGAAGUAGUUUGGCUUUUAUGAUGCGUCUAUGUAUAUGAUUUUAGUAGCUUGGAUUGCUUUUAUAUAUUUAUGGUGAAAAUAACAGCUGCUUAAAAAUUGAUCAUCAGUCAUAGGAAGACACUAGAUGUUUUUAAUCUUCCGAGGCAGAAUUACAAAUUAUUAAGUGAUAUAAAGUAUUUUAGUUAAAGGCAUUUUAUUAAAAACACUUCAUCUAGCAUUUACAGAAA